CGGGGUGUAGCGCAGCCUGGUAGCGCGUCUGUUUUGGGAACAGAAUGUCAUAGGUUCAAAUCCUGUCACCCUGA
rfam:Klebsormidium nitens mitochondrial DNA, contig: KFL_3731.